rnacentral:rRNA from 1 species
ACUCCUACGGGAGGCAGCAGUGGGGAAUUUUGGACAAUGGGGGCAACCCUGAUCCAGCAAUGCCGCGUGAGUGAAGAAGGCCUUCGGGUUGUAAAGCUCUUUUGUCAGGGAAGAAACGGUGGUGGCGAAUAACUACUACUAAUGACGGUACCUGAAGAAUAAGCACCGGCUAACUACGUGCCAGCAGCCGCGGUAAUACGUAGGGUGCAAGCGUUAAUCGGAAUUACUGGGCGUAAAGCGUGCGCAGGCGGUUGUGUAAGUCAGAUGUGAAAUCCCCGGGCUCAACCUGGGAAUUGCAUUUGAGACUGCACGGCUAGAGUGUGUCAGAGGGGGGUAGAAUUCCACGUGUAGCAGUGAAAUGCGUAGAUAUGUGGAGGAAUACCGAUGGCGAAGGCAGCCCCCUGGGAUAACACUGACGCUCAUGCACGAAAGCGUGGGGAGCAAACAGGAUUAGAAACCCGUGUAGUCCCAU